UGGAAUGGCCUAACUGGAACCAACGCU
rnacentral:piRNA from 1 species